rnacentral:rRNA from 1 species
UACAGAGGGUGCGAGCGUUAAUCGGAAUUACUGGGCGUAAAGCGUGCGUAGACGGUAGCGUAAGUCAGAUGUGAAAGCCCCGGGCUCAACCUGGGAAUUGCAUUUGAGACUGCUCUGCUCGGGUGCGGAAGAGGGAAGCGGAAUUUCCGGUGUAGCGGUGAAAUGCGUAGAUAUCGGAAGGAACACCAGUGGCGAAAGCGGUUUCCUGGUCCGACACCGACGUUCAGGCACGAAAGCGUGGGGAGCAAACAGG